rnacentral:rRNA from 1 species
GACGAACGCUGGCGGCGCGCCUAACACAUGCAAGUCGAACGGAGCUGAGAGAAGCUUGCUUUUCUUAGCUUAGUGGCGAACGGGUGAGUAACGCGUGAGUAACCUGCCCUGGAGUGGGGGACAACAGUUGGAAACGACUGCUAAUACCGCAUAAGCCCACGAUCCGGCAUCGGAUUGAGGGAAUAGGAUUUAUUCGCUUCAGGAUGGACUCGCGUCCAAUUAGCUAGUUGGUGAGGUAACGGCCCACCAAGGCGACGAUUGGUAGCCGGACUGAGAGGUUGAACGGCCACAUUGGGACUGAGACACGGCCCAGACUCCUACGGGAGGCAGCAGUGGGGGAUAUUGCACAAUGGGGGAAACCCUGAUGCAGCGACGCCGCGUGGAGGAAGAAGGUUUUCGGAUUGUAAACUCCUGUCGUUAGGGACGAUAAUGACGGUACCUAACAAGAAAGCACCGGCUAACUACGUG